rnacentral:rRNA from 1 species
CCCGCCGGCGACCGGCGCACGGGUGAGUAACACGUAUGAAACCUGCCCGUAGCAGGGGGAUAAGCGGAAGAAAUUCCGUCUAAUACCGCGUAACAACCCAUGGAGGCAUCUCUGUGGGUUUAAAGGAAGCGAUUCCGGCUACGGAUGGUCAUGCGUCGCAUUAGCUUGUUGGCGGGGUAACGGCCCACCAAGGUGACGAUGCGUAGGGGUUCUGAGAGGAAGGUCCCCCACACUGGUACUGAGACACGGACCAGACUCCUACGGGAGGCAGCAG